GGUAGACAGGUCGGCAGGUAGACAGGUAGAUGGGUCGGGAUCAGCAGGUAGACGGUUUGGCAGGUAGACAGGUCGGCAGGUAGACGGGUUGGCAGGUAGAUAAGUCAUCAGGUAGACAGGUCGGCAGGUAUGCGGAUCGACUGGUAGACAGGUCGGCCAUCAGUGGGGCCUAGAAUAAUGUGCGAGGACUAA